ensembl:misc_RNA Metazoa_SRP Metazoan signal recognition particle RNA
GCCAGGUGUGGUGGCACACACCUAUAGUCCCAGCUACUUGGGGGACUGAGACAGGAGGAUCACUUGAGCCCAGGAAUUCGAGGCUGCAGUGAGCUAUAAUUGUAACACUGCACUCCAGCCUGGGCAACAGAGUGAGACCCUGUCUCUG